rnacentral:rRNA from 1 species
CAUGCAAGUCGAACGAGUCCACUCCUUCGGGAGUGAGGCGAGUGGCGGACGGGUGAGUAACACGUGAGCAAUCUAUCCUGUUGCGGGGGACAACGAGGGGAAACCUUCGCUAAUACCGCAUGGUCAAGAGACUCCACGAGUCUUUUGGGAAACGUGGCCUCUUAACAAUGCUACGGCGGCAGGAGGAGCUCGCGGGCUAUCAGCUAGUUGGUGAGGUAACGGCUCACCAAGGCGACGACGGCUACGGGGUCUGAGAGGACGACCCCGCACAUUGGAACUGAGACACGGUCCAGACUCCUACGGGAGGCAGCAGUGGGGAAUAUUGGGCAAUGGCCGAAAGGCUGACCCAGCGACGCCGCGUGUGGGAGGAAGCCCUUCGGGGUGUAAACCACUGUCAGGAGGGACGAAAGAGCGGGGAGUGAAUAAUUCUCCGCAGUGACGGUACCUUCAAAGGAAGCACCGGCUAACUCUGUGCCAGCAGCCGCGGUAAUACAGAGGGUGCAAGCGUUGUUCGGAAUUACUGGGCGUAAAGCGCGCGCAGGCGGAUCCUUAAGUCGGAAGUGAAAUUUCGGGGCUCAACUCCGAAGCUGCUUCUGAGACUGCGGAUCUGGAGAUCGGUAGAGGUCGGUGGAAUUACAGGUGUAGCGGUGGAAUGCGUAGAGAUCUGUAAGACACCCGUGGCGAANGCGGCCGACUGGGCCGAAUCUGACGCUGA